rnacentral:lncRNA from 1 species
GGACUUGUACAUGGUUAGAUCCUCGGUCUCCACGAAUUAUGCUAAAAGGCGGACUAAUCAGAUGAUUAUCAAACACUACAAAGGCCAUCGUUCAAGCGGCGCCAUGCCUGCCAAUGAACAGCUCCGUUCACAAGAGCCUGAAAUUUGCGAGAAUCAAAGCCUUUACAAACGGGAUCAAAAGAAUGAGGACCACUCCACAAUCCUCUAGCAAGUGAAUAAACCCUCAUAAAAAGUAUUCGGAUCCUCGUAUUCCAACCACACGAAGAAAUCUAUUGCGCUUGGGAACACUUGGAUAUUCUAGCUUGCAGUACUCAUCAAAAGCAUGGUUAUCAUAAUGCAAAUAGUAAUUCAGCUCCACUGGAUUGUCUCCACGAACACAUUGCAGAAGGAGGUGGUGGGUGCCAAACUGGUUAAAAUCGAUGGUACAGCUGAGGUGGGUGCGAAUAAAGCUGGGAUUUUUUAUCAUGGAGUUCCAAGGCUUGGACACCGAGGUGCAUCGGUGUUAGUGUUUAAGUGUUUUUAGCUGAAAUAAAACAUUUCAGUUUACCUGUUUUAAUUAUAGCCUUUGGAUUACAUUCCAAAUGGAUGCUCUAGAUUAAGUGAGAGUUAAUGAUAUAGAGUGACAACUGUAGCUAUCUCAUAGGAUAGAUGAAAUGAAUGGUUGUGAUGUAUUUUCUCUGAUAUGAGAGAGAAAUGUGCUAAUGCUCUGUAAUGUGAGUGUUUUCGGUAAUGUCCAUUCGAUUGUCAGAAAGAAGAGAAAUGAAACGUCUUGUUCACUCAUCUUUGUGAAUACUCUCUGCAACUCCUUGUUUUCUUUUAUACAAGAAAGCUCCCAAAACAACAUCAAAUCUAUAAACUAACAUGGCCUCAGAGCCAGGUUGCAUCCUCUGCAACUGGGCGUGAAUCUGUGAAGCUCACAGUGAAGAGCUCGAACUGACCGUUGAGUUCUCACUGAAGAAAACGCGGAGAAGAAAGUGUAGUGAUCUUAGAUCUCGUCUCACAUGGCUGGAUCGAGUGGAGCUGAUCUUCGUGCACCGGUUUUCAAUGGUGAAAACUUUGAUUUCUGGCAGAUUCGGAUGAAGACAAUAUUCCGAUCGCACGAGCUAUGGGAUAUCGUCGAAAAUGGUGUCGAAACUUCGACGAAUAAGGAUGAAGAACUUACUGUAGCUGAAAGCAAGUUAUUGAAGGAGAAUAUAGUCAGAGAUGCGAAGGCACUUGGAAUCAUCCAAGGUGCGGUUUCGGAUCAGAUCUUUCCGAGAAUCGCAAUCCAAGAGACUGCAAAUGCUGCUUGGAAUGUGCUGAAACAAGAAUUUGUGGGAGAUAAACAGGUACGGGCUGUGAAACUCCAAGGCUUACGCCGGGGUUUUGAAUAUACUAGAAUGGGUGAAAAUGAAGCUUUCUCUGCAUAUCUAGUUAGGUUAUUUGAUUUGAUUAGUCAAAUGAGAAGCUAUGGUGAGGAGAUAAGUAAUCAGAGAAUCGUUCAAAAGUUGCUAAUAAGUUUACCUAGGUCCUAUGAUAGUAUUGCUUCUGUGAUUGAAAAUACUAAGGAUCUAGAUAUUGUUGAUGUUCAAGAUGUGGUAGCAAUUCUCAAAGGUUAUGAGCAAAGAAUUGAUCGGCAUGAUGAAUCUCAUACUGAGAAAGCAUUUGUUAGUCUCAGUAUUGCUCCAAAACAGAAUAAGUACAAUGGGAAUCAAGGGUUCAAACCACAGAAGAAUUGGAAGUCUAAAUGGAAGAAAGGAGAUCAUAGACCUGCAAAUCAAACUGGAAAAGUUGCAGGUACUUCUGAAGGAGCUAAGAAUCCCUGUAUUCAUUGUGAUAAAUUGCAUUUUGGUGAAUGUUGGUUCAAAGAUAAACCAAGGUGUCAUAGUUGUCAUAAGUUGGGGCAUAUUGCAAGAGAUUGCCGAGUCAAGAAGGAGAAGACUAAUCAACAUGUGAAUUUUGUUAAUCAAGUCAAUGAUACUCCUACCAUGUUCUAUGUCUGCAAUAAUGUUAAUGUGAAGGAAAAUGAAGAUAUAUGGUAUGUAGACAGUGGUUGUAGUAACCAUAUGACUGGAAGGGAGGAGUUACUGAUUGACAUUGAUAGAAAUAUGACUGCUAAGGUAGAGAUGGGUACAGGACAGCUCAUUGAAGUCACAGGGAAAGGAAGUUUAGUAGUUGAUACCAAAAUGGGAAGGAGAUAUAUCAAAGAAGUGAUGUUAAUUCCAGGGUUAAAAGAAAAUUUGCUCAGUGUAGGGCAAAUGAUGGAACACGGUUACUUUCUUGUGUUUGGAGGUACAACUGCAGAGAUAUAUGAUGAUAGUUCAAUGUCUAAUCUGAUAGCUAGAAUACCAAUGAAGGGAAAUAGAAGUUUUCCUUUGAGACUUAUACCUGAGAUGCAGGUUGCUCUAAAGACUAGUGUGUUUUAGUCUUCUAAAAUCUGGCAUAGGAGGUUAGGACAUUUGAAUUUGAGCAGUUUGAAACAACUCAAAGAGCAUGAUAUGGUGUUGGGUUUGCCGGAUCUUGAAAUGACAAAUGAGAUAUGUGAAGGGUGUGCUUUUGAGAAGCAUUGCAGAGAUGCAUUUCCAAAGGAAGCAUCAUGGAGGGCCACACAACCUCUUGAACUCAUUCACUCUGACAUUUGUGGACCCAUGCAGAUUUCUACAAAGGCUGGAAAUAAGUAUUUUCUCACCUUCAUAGAUGACUGCACUCGGAUGUGUUGGGUUUACUUCUUAAGGAACAAGUCAGAGGUGUUUAGUGUAUUCAAGAAAUUCAAGCUCACAGUUGAAUUGCAAAGUGGAUAUAAAUUGAAGAAGUUGAGAAGUGACAGAGGAGGAGAAUAUGUAUCUGUUGAAUUCAGGGAAUUUUUGUGAAGAAAUGGGCAUGGAAAGACAGUUUACAGUGGGAUACACACCUCAGCAGAAUGGAGUAGCUGAGAGGAAGAAUAGAACCAUAGUUGAGAUGUCAAAGUGUAUGAUGAUUGAAAAGGGUGUCCCAUUUGAAUUCUGGGCAGAAGCUGUUAAUACAUCAGUGUAUAUUUUGAACAGAUGUCCUACCAAGUCUCUUGAUAAGAAGACUCCUUUCGAGGCAUAUAGUGGAAGAAAACCAGGGAUCAAACACUUAAAGAUUUUUGGUUCUGUGUGUUAUGCAUACAUUCCAAGACAGGUUAGACAGAAAUUGGAUGAAACAAGUACUAAAUGCAUAUUUUUGGGAUAUGGCACAUGUGAGAAAGGGUAUAGACUCUAUGAUCCUAUCUCAAAGAAAAUAAUUGUGUCAAGAGAUGUAAUAGUCAAUGAAAAUGCUUGCUGGGAUUGGGAGUCACAAUCUGAGAAAAUCAUCAGUGUAUCCAUACCUGGAAAGAAAUUGUGUGAACAAAAUGUGGAAGGAAAUUCAAGUGAUAAGAGUGAUGAAAAUGAUGAAUUCUUAGCAUCUUCAUCUGAAGCAAAUGAGUCAAUUGAAAAUGAUUCAAGACUGGUGCAAAUGCAGAGUAACACAGGUCCUCAAGACUAUGAUCAUACUCCUUUGAAGUUCAAAAGUUUGACAGAAAUAUAUGCAAAAUGCAAUCUGUGCAUUUAUUGAGCCUGAGAACUUUGAGGAAGCAGUAAAAGAUGAAUCAUGGCAGAAGGCAAUGGAAGCAGAAAUAGGCAUGAUAGAGAAGAAUUGCACCUGGGAACUUGUUGAUAGACCAUUUGAUAAGCCGGUUGUGGGUGUCAAGUGGAUCUAUAAAACAAAAAAUUGAACCUAGAUGGGUCUAUACAGAAGAAUAAGGCAAGGUUAGUGGCUAAGGGAUACUCUCAAAAGCCUGGAAUCGAUUUCAAUGAGACAUUUGCUCCUGUGGCAAGGCUUGACACUAUUAGAACUUUAAUUGGGCUUGCUGCACAUAAAGGAUGGAAGCUUUUCCAACUUGAUGUGAAGUCUGCAUUUCUGAAUGGAGUUCUAAAUGAGGAAGUAUAUGUAGACCAACCACUUGGCUUUGUGAUUAGAGGCAAGGAAGACAAGGUUUACAAGCUCAAGAAAGCUUUGUAUGGGUUGAAACAGGCACCAAAGGGCCUGGUACAAAGAAAUUGAUUCUCAUUUCUGCAACUCUGGUUUUCACAGAAGUCCAAGUGAAGCAACUCUCUACAUCAAAGCAACUGAGGCAGGAAUACUUAUUGUUUCUCUGUAUGUAGAUGACAUCAUAUACACAGGAAGUUCAGCUGCAUUGAUGAAUGAGUUUAAAACAGAAAUGAUGGGAAAGUAUGAAAUGUCUGAUUUGGGACUAUUGCAUCAUUUCUUGGGGCUUGGAGUCAUUCAAACUGAGAGUUGUAUUUUUCUGCAUCAAAAGAAAUAUGCAAGGACUCUGUUGGAGAAAUUCGGAUUGAAAGAAUGCAAACCUGUUGCAACUCCACUUGCAACAAAUGAAAGAUUAAGCAAAGAAGAUGGAAGUGAAAUAGCUGAUGAAAGUCUUUACAGGCAGAUAGUUGGUAGUUUGUUAUAUUUAACAGCUACAAGACCUGAUAUCAUGUUUGCUGCAAGUCUACUUGCUCGGUUCAUGCAUAAUCCAACCAGGAAACAUAUGGGAACUGCAAAGAGAGUGCUAAGAUAUAUUCAAGGCACACUGGACUAUGGAAUUGCAUAUGAAAAAGGCAAGGAUGUUGUGCUUAUUGGAUAUUGUGAUAGUGAUUGGGCAGGAAGUGAAGAUGACAUGAAGAGCACCUCCGGAUAUGCUUUUAGUUUUGGUUCUGGAGCAUUUUUCUUGGGCCUCAAUCAAACAAAGCAGUGUAGCUUUGUCCACUGCAGAGGCAGAGUAUGUUAGUGCUGCAGAGGCAACUGCACAAGCCAUCUGGUUAAGGUUUGUCUUAUCAGAUUUUGGAGAGGAACAAGUGGAACCUACUCAAAUUCUAUGCGAUAACACUUCAGCUAUUGCAAUCUCUAAGAAUCCAGUGGCUCAUCAUAAGACAAGACACAUAAACAGAAGAUUUCAUUUCAUCCGAGAUGCACUGCAGAAUGGUGAAGUUGAUCUGAUUUACUGCAAAACUGAAGAAAACAAGUUGCAGAUAUCUUUACAAAAGCAUUGGCAAGAGAUAGAUUUGAGUAUUUGAGGAAGGCUUUAGGAGUGAUUUCAGCUAAACACUUAGAAGGGAGUGUUAGUGUUUAAGUGUUUUUAGCUGAAAUAAAACAUUUCAGUUUACCUGUUUUAAUUAUAGCCUUUGGAUUACAUUCCAAAUGGAUGCUCUAGAUUAAGUGAGAGUUAAUGAUAUAGAGUGACAACUGUAGCUAUCUCAUAGGAUAGAUGAAAUGAAUGGUUGUGAUGUAUUUUCUCUGAUAUGAGAGAGAAAUGUGCUAAUGCUCUGUAAUGUGAGUGUUUUCGGUAAUGUCCAUUCGAUUGUCAGAAAGAAGAGAAAUGAAACGUCUUGUUCACUCAUCUUUGUGAAUACUCUCUGCAACUCCUUGUUUUCUUUUAUACAAGAAAGCUCCCAAAACAGCAUCAAAUCUAUAAACUAACAAUCGGAUCAAAGCUUUAGGAGGUAGUCUCAAAAGGAUAACACGUACAAUUUCCUUAGGCAAACUGCUAACCAUUGCUUCAAACUUCACUUCCCCGGCUGCCAAUUUCAUAGACAUAGAGUAAGUGAGGAAAUAUAGUGCAGCCAGUUACAGAACACCGUGCUCCUCCACAUAGGAGAACAACAUUGUCAAAACUCUGCCGGUGGUUGAUGAAUGCAGCAAAACCAUUUUUUAUGUGCACCAGGAAAUCAAACCAAAUCAAAUCAUCCGCAUAGAGUGAGGAAUUUAAGCAUAUUAGAUCAUGGCAGCAGAAAUAAUCACCCUCCAGUUAUUCGUUCUACUAGUCUACAACUGGAAACGCAGCAGAUACAGAAAACGCAUAGAAAAAGGUCACACUAUGAUCAAUUGACAAGAGCAAAUAUUUCCAGGGCCAUUAGUUCUUUCAAUUAAUCACAAUAAAACAAACAAAUGUUCCCAUUAGGCUACAUCUGUCUAAAAGGAGACAACCCGAGUUAACGUAUGCCAAUUCCACUUGCAUGGAAUAAUGCAGAUAAAACGGCCGAAUCAUCUUGUGUUCUUUUAUUUUUCAUAUAUCUUGGCCCUAACAUUAGAUCUGUCUUUCGCCACAUUUCCUUACUAGAGUUCUAUAUAAGUCAGUUGCAUGGAUUUUCACAUCAAAUGGUAUGCUGAGUUUGACCGAUAAGGCAGUGUUACAUAUGGUUGUAUUUUGUACGACCAACGUCACUUGAAAAGCAAUAACUUGCAGCUAAGAAAACCGCAAAGAAUGUAUUUCUAUUGGCUGACUCAUGUAUACAUCAAAUCAUUAGAGAAAGAAAUGGGACAACAGUUAUGAGAAAAAAUCUUACAGACGAAGGCCUGCCAAUGCCAGGAUCCACUCCUCCUCCAUGCCUGAUAUUAGGAUCAACCUUUCCUGGUGACUCGGGUUUUCCACCUGUCUUCUUCUCAUCCCUAGCCUUGUUAAAGAUCAUAGUUGUCACAUCCCGACCCGGGCUCGGCUCUGUCGUAGCACAAUAUUGUCCAUUUUAGGCCCCGAUCACGCCCUCACGGUUUUGUUUCUGGGAACUCACACGAGAACUUCCAGUGAGUCACCCAUCCUAGGAUUGCUCUCGCACGAUCUCGCUUAACUUCGGAGUUCCUUUGGAAUCCGAAGCCAAUGAGCUCCCAAAAUGACUCGUGUUAAAGGAGGUGAGCAUGUACAUAUAAGGCAUAGAUGAUCCUCACCCCUGAGCGAUGUGGGAUCUAUGGAAUGGGUAGAAUCUCCGAAGCCAAUGAGCUCCCAAAAUGACUCGUGUUAAAGGAGGUGAGCAUGUACAUAUAAGGCAUAGAUGAUCCUCACCCCUGAGCGAUGUGGGAUCUAUGGAAUGGGUAGAAUCAAACCAAUGUAGGUUUAUUGUGUUUAGUUAAACUCAUUGUGUUUGUGUUAGCUCAACUCAUUUAAAACUAAACUUUCAUACUUUAUGUUGUGUUAUUUGUGUUGAAUCCAAAAUUUGGUCAGUCUUGGAUUCACUAUCAUAUAGUCAAAGAGCUUGUUUGGAACUGUUUUUAAAAUUACUGAAAACACUUAAAUCAUUGCAUGAAGCAAUAAAGUGAUUUUCCAGAACUUACUUGACAUUUUAAUAAGAAUUGAUUUUAAAAAUAUUUUCAUAAAAAACGCUUUUAACCAUUCUUAAGGCCAAUUUCAAACGAAACAAAAAUAAGCACUACAAAAUUGUAUUUAUAUAGCCAAUAAUUAGGAUCAUCAUAACCCAUGUCUUUUCAACGAUAAGGACAAAAUGAAAGGUAAAGUAAAUAGUGUCAGUAUUAACUUUUUAGUGAAAAAAUGUGGUUUUUCGUUAAAGUGAACAGUACCAAGAGGUUUUUGUUAAAAUUCCCUUAUUUUAAUUCAAAGUUAAAAUGCAAUGAUCUGUACACCAAAACAACAAUAAUAAGCUUUGUUCCAAACUGAAGAUUCAAAAUGGAGUAAAAGGAAAAUAAUGAUUGACCAAGGAAAAAAAAGAAUUGUAUACCUGAGGAGUGAUGUAGAGUGUAUACGGAUGAAGUAUUUUUUUUUAGAUGAACAUCUGUAGGAAAAUCGAAACCAAAUGAGAUUACAUAGCAGCAAAAAAAAUGAUGGGAAAAUAGAUUAAGAAAAGCAAUUAAAAAUAAACAUAGAGGAUGAAUGAUGUUGUCCAAUGUACUUAAUUUCUCUUAUAAAAUAUAAGACAACUAUAUAUAUUUCUCGACCAUAUGAGACGACCAUAUGAGAGAGCAUCAAAUUCGAAUAAACUAACAAAGCUCUUAAUUCUAAGUUGGUAAUUUCAUUGUUGUCGGUGUCAACUUGAUGACAUUAUGCAAUAUCAAUUUAAUUCAAUGGGCAAUUUAAUUUUGCAGAUUAAAAAGAAUUUAAGAAUACUGAAAGUUACUAAUCCCCAUCACAACAUCCCAUCAGUAAAUAACCAAAACCAAAUGUAAAUUGUAGUUUUUUAUAGAGCAUAUCCAAAAGUAUAUCCCAUCUCUCUGAGCAUCCAAACAGAGCAUACCCAAAAUACCAAAAAAGAUUAAAAUUUGGAUUUAGCACCUAUUGAAAGUUUUAAAAAAUAAAAACUACAGAAAUAACAAUACGGAAAGAGCAACAAAAUACAACCAUAGAAGAACGAUCAGAGUCCAAGGUGUGAUUCGGACUCGAAGCUUCUUGAAAGAUUUUUCUGAGCUGUAUGAAUAUUAGUUACAUGGAAUCCAGAUUUUUCAAUGGGUGUAUUUUGAACCCAGAAAAAUCUCAUUUCCUGUUUCUGAAAAUUACACACAGAUUGAACACAGAAAAUCCCAAGAGAUUUUUCCUGUUUCUCAGUUUUAUCAAAACCCGCAAUAGAUAGCAAAUUACAUGUAGGGAUCCCAAACUGUACAUGGAACCCAGAUGUAGCUUUAAACCUAUAUAUUUCUGGGAACUAUAUAUGGAAUCCAGAUAUUUCUGCUUCAUAAAAAAAAUUAAUAUAAGAAUUUCUAAAAUCGUCGCCGUACGCCACUUUGUAUUGAGUGAGUAACAGAGAUAAAAGUGAGAGGAAAAAGAGAGAAGGGAGAAAGAAGAGUUGAGGAGGGUUUGGUCAUGGUUGGCUUGUGAUUUUAGAGUUUUAAGGUUGCAGUGAGAAAGCGAAGAGCGAGAGUGAAGAAAGGGGGGAAGCACUCUGUAUAAAUGAAAUUGAGUCGGUGAAGACCCAUGCGUCAUCAUUUUCUAAUUGAACAUCUAAUUGAAUAUUAACCAUGUAGUUUGAAUUGAAUAUGUGAUUGAAUAUUAGAUAUUUAGUUUGAAUUGAUUUGGAUAUGUGGUUUAUUGAAUUGGAAUCCUUUUAAAUUUUAUUAUGAAUAAGUGAACACAGUUAUAAGUAUCAACCAUUUAUCCUCAUUCAUAUUCAAAUAUAAUAUGGAUAAGUGAACACAAUUAUGAGUAUCAACGCAUGCCUGAAUAGCGUCCAUAAUGGCUGCCUUUGUUACAUUAUGAUUUAUGUUUUUGCUAUAGUGUCGAAGAUGUCCGGUCUCAGAAAAAGUGAAUAGCCAUGCUCUCCGUCAUCGAAUACUGCACACCAUGCUGCAUAUUUUUUUGUUUGAACAUCUAUGCUUGACGACUUACCUGCUUAAACACCGCUUUUUCUGUGGUUUGCUAAUUCCUACGUGAGGUAUGUAGGCUGCAGGGCAUAUAUUUUGCGGUCUUAACUACAGGGGCAAAAUAUGUGUAAACUGCAGCUUGCUUCUGUUUCUUCAGUUUUGUAUGGAAACAGACCUUCUGCUUAUUUUUGCAUUUGAACAGUUGUGGUUACAAAAUUAGCUACUUGAACAAGUCCUCAACACUUUCUGUUUUCAAUUACCAGUUGAAAUGGUUGCCUACAUUGCAGGACUGUGAACUAUAUGUUUGUUCUGUUUCUAAAGGAAACAGAACUUUUUGGGUAACCAUCUCUUUCUAAUCAAAGACAUUCAGUUUCUUCCUACUCAUUGUACAAUGUAUUUAUAUGGUAGCUCACCUGAAUAUAUAUAAAAACAAAAUUGAUUAUCUUAUCAACCUCAUUCAUUCAUUUAUCCCUUUGUUUGUUCAUAAUUGUGUUGAAUUUAUUCAACUUAAAUGUGUUUUAUUCAUUCGAUUACGCUUGAAACAACUAGUUCCCGCGGAAAUGCACGGGCCUAAUAUCUAGUAUAUACUAAACAUGAGUUUCCCCCGGCACUGUAGAUCACCAGUGUCCGGACGGAACUGCCCUCGCUUCUCUGUUUUCUUUCCGUUUGUGUCCCUGUUUUCCACGCGUUGCUCAUCUUUUUCUCUCGACUUUGAGAGUCUUCUUAACGAGUUAGGGUUUUGUUCCUUCGUUGCUUUUCCUGAUUUCGGCUUUUGCUCUUUUCGUUUUGGCCGUUCUUUCUUCCAAUCCUCUGUUUCCCUGCGAUAUCCGUCCUUUCUUUCGCGGAAAGGGUUGCUGAUUUUCGUGGUUUAAGGGAUUUUGUGGUUGCCGAGCCGUAGUGCGUCUAUUUAGAUUUGGGAUUUUUUGCUUUCCGAGGGUUUCGACAUCUCUAAUUGGGGUAAAGGAUUCCUGUUGUUUCCCCUUUUUCCGUUUGGGAUUUCUGGGUUGUGGCUGGGUUUUAGGCCGAUUUACACCUCUUUUAUAAUCAUUUUCUUUUGGUUUUUAUUUUUGGUUUUUCCUUUGUUUUGAUGAAACCUUAAUCGUUUCCUUUUAUUGUCAAUUGUGGUGCUCUCUUGGGUUUUCCCUGUUAAAGGAGAAUUUUGCGUUUUUGUUCUUCAGUUGGCAAAUCUCUGAUUUGCUGCUAUUUGCAACGUUGCCGUAAUUUUUUGGGUUUUUUUGCGCUUCUGCUUUUUUUCCGAUUCGGACAUGGAUUGGUAAUUCUUGGAUUUAAAUGGAUUCGUAGUUUUUGAUGAGAGGAGUUGUUGAGGUUGUGUGAAGGUUUGUUUUUCUGGGUUUUAUGCUGCAGGGGGUUACAAACACGAAGAGGAGGAGAGGAAACAUUAGUUUAGAAUUAUUUGCAUGUGCUUUUUUAAGGUUUUGCUUUUUUCCAGUUUGGAUUAAAAUGGAUUUUGAAUUUUUGAGAAGAAAUUAAAGGGGUCGUUGGAAUUUUGGAAGCCUUUGUGUUAUUGGUGAACACGCAGACAAUCUUGAAAAUUUGUGGUAAAAGACUAAUGUUUGUAUAUAAAAAUUGCAGCCAUGUUGUAAAGAACAAUGGUUCAUUAAGCUAAAUGUCAAUGGACUAAUCCAUGUGUUGACUGUGUUGAAAGGCACAAAUUUUUUUGACAUGUUUGGGUUUCAUCUCAUGUGGAUUAGUGGAAAAACAAAAUGGUAUUGCUCUAACAGAAUGUUGGUCGCUUACAGGUUUGAAGACUAAUGUUUGUACCAUACUUGACCAAUCCCAAAACUAUUGAGCACCGAUCAACGUUAUACAGUUAAGGACCCAGAAGAGUUUCCCUCAAACCAGGAGGCCAAUCACAGCGCGACACGUGUCGACAUCAGAAGCCAAUCAUAGCACGACACGUGUCAACAUCAGAAGCCAAUCAUAACACGACAUGUGUCAAUGUCAGAAUGAAACUAGAAACUCUCUUCUAUAAAUAAAGAUCAUUCUCUCAUAAUAUUUCCUAAUGUCAUUUGUACUAAAUCAUUCACUAGUACUCACAAAAGGAGAGCUUGAACCUAUGUACUUGUGUAAACCCUUCACAAUUAAUGAGAAUUCCUCUACUCCGUGGACGUAGCCAAUCUGGGUGAACCACGUACAUCUUGUGUUUGCUUCCUUGUCUCUAUCCAUUUACAUACUUAUCCACACUAGUGAUCGGAGCAAUCUAGCGAAGGUCACAAACUUAACACUUUCUGCUGUACCAAAGUCCUCACUAAUUUUGUGUAUCAACAACUAAUAUUACGAUAAUAUAUAAACAUAAAGCAACCAGCAUACCAUGGAGGUAAUGUCCUAUGAAAAGGAUAGAAAAUAGAUAUUAGACAGGGAGGAAGAAGAUCAGAAAAGGCAACUGAAACACAACUAUUUAGACAACAUAAAUCCAUUUUCACGAAGCACUUAGCACAUAUGUCGAAAGAUACACCAAUUGACUGAAAUACAAAAAAGGAUAAAGAACUCUAACCUUCCCCGACGACAUAAGAACCCAGUUAAAAGAAAUCUACUUAGCCCUAAAUGAAAUCCUUGUUUUGGGCAAGGUAAUAACAACAAAACCUCUUCAUCCAGCUAGUUUAUGCAUUCAAAGUCGGGAUGAAGAUCACAUACGUACAUACAGAACCAUACAAAAACUUGACCAUGAGAAUUUAGGAAGUACGCAAUGUCCUUAAUGUACUAAGGAUUAAAAGUAGAUACAGAAACCAGUCAUAAACACCAUCAGGAAGCAAUCCACUCAAACAAUGAAAGAUAAUAAAAAUUAACAAUACCUUUUAUUCUAUUACAAAUUGAGCAUCCAACCAGAAACCAAUAGGCAACGGGUGGAGACUCCCAAGAUCAUUCAAACUAUUUAUGUAACGCUUCAAUUCCUGACAUGGGAUUCACACUCUCGAAACAAUACCUGCUCCAAGAAGCAAUAAAAAAGGUCGUACCCAGUGCACAAGGCUCUCGCUUUACGCAGGGUCUGGAAGAGGUGAAUGUCAGCUAGCCUUACCCCCAUUUAUGGAGAGGCUGCUCCCAAAUCUCGAACCCGAGACCUACCACUCAUGGGCGAAGGGAGCAAUAUACUCUCAAAAUUUUCAACUUACUAAUUUUGUAAUAAACACGAAGAAAACUUGUCAUUUUCUCACUAACCCUUUUCUGUUCAUUUUCAUUUUCACUAAAUUCCUAAUUAAGCAAAACUAUAAAUCAAACUGAAAAACUAUAAUCUGCUCCUCUGAAGAAUCCAAAUUUUGCAUCAAGUAUAUGUAUUUACUUUAAUAAUGAGAAAAACAUAAAAAUUAAUACUAAAAACAUGAAUUUUGCUAAGAAAUUAAUAUAAAACCAAUGCAUCUGAGAGAAUUACAAUCAAGUCAAUAGAAAUUAAUGAAUAAAUCUAAAUGAAUUAGAGCUCAAUCCAAUCAGAAAUCCAGCAAAUAAGCAUCGCAAAGAUUAAAUUUAAACCAAAAACAAAUAAAGCCAUACAAAGGUUAAGAAUUUAUAUUCGGAUUGAAGAAAGAGAUUACGUACCGACAUGAAUUCGAUCAAAAGGGAAAGAACUUUUUUAUUUUUCGGGAAAAAUGAAAUGACUCGGAAAGCAGAGAGAGAGACGUUGGGCCAGAAAUGGGCCUAUAAUUGCAUUAUGAAAUCUGGGAAAGAAUAUGAGGCUUUAACGAUUUUUGUUUCGGGAUGAACGGCGUUAUUUUGCUGACGGGAACGAAAAGAUGAUUCGGAUCGCCGUUAAGUCGGCGUCAGCCCUGACGUGGUUUGUGCGUUUGGAAUGAAAUUGAGAGUCAAAUAAAAAAUGGAAAAUUGGACAAUCACCAUCCCACAUAAAAUCCACGAAUAAAAUCGAACCAGUUUUUCACAAAUUCACGUUUUAGUACUGAUGUAUUACUACCCUCAAUUUUCCUUAGAACUCAGUUAAAACGUAUAACCGUCACCAAUUUAUUACAUAUCAAUUAGAUGAAUAAUGCACUUUUUGAAUAAGUAACGAAAGCUUGGUAUAAGGAUUUGAUUGACCAAAAUUUGUUGGCACAUAUUAUCUACUUUCAGGAAGACAAGUUAUGGUAAAGGAAGUCAUUUAGUGGUCAUCAUUUGCAUUUCCAUUUCUUUGUUGAUUGCUUAUUCUCGAUGCAUUAAAUAAAAUGCAUUACUAGCUCAUAAGUCAAAAUUUGCUAAAAUAAAAUAAAACAUUAGGUGAAAGUGGCCUGAUUUACAAAGUUAUAAUACAAAUCAGUGAAAAGGGGCCAAGCAAACAUAGCAAUCGUUUACCAAAAAAAAAAAAGCAAAUAUAGGAAUCCGGGAGAAGAAAUGUUGGCCAAGAAAUAUCCAGGUUGUCAGCCAAUUGAAGACCUCCCAAAGCAGCCACUCCUCAACCCCCAAAACCUUGACCCAACCCAAAAUAUGUGGAUUACUUUACUUUACAAGAAUAAAGAUGAUUAAUUACCCAAAAAAUAAAGAAUAAAGAUGAUUAAUAAUAAUAAUAAUAUUAAUAUUAAAACAUUCCUCGAGAGAUGAUACCUGGACCAUCAGCUUCAUAUCAGUGUGCCAUCUAUCUGUAUGCAAGGGAUGUGGGAUAUUUUGUGCCAGUAGCGUCCUUUUCCUGGUUGGCAUCUCUCUUUUAGCACUGGACACUCAUAGAUCCAAAGUUUCGUAAGUGAAGGAGGCAGACCCUCCUCUGGAAUGGAUGCUAGCUUUGGACAAUAGGAGAGUUUCAAAGAUUGAAGGGAGGGGAGGAAUUGAAAGCCCUUGCUGCUCAGUUUCUUCAGAUUCGGGAAGCCAUCUAUUGAGAGGCUAGUGAGAGAUUUGGGGAAGAGCGUCUCCAUCCGUACCAUGUCGGGUGGAAACGACACCGUAUCCGGGUCUUCACCGAUAAUCUCUAAGCGUCUAAGAGAGGUGAGUCUGUGCAACCCCCACUCCAACUCCCACAAUGACUUACAGCUCUUGACCUCCCAAAUUCGAAGAAAUGUUAGGUUGGGAGGAAAAGUCAAACCUUCACGGUAGUCGAUGAACAAACUCUCAAGAGAGUUGAGAUUGUGCAUGUCUUCGGGCAACGCCUCCAAUUUCUCGCAAUCUCGGAUCAAGAUAUUUCUCAGGUUGGAGGGUCUUCUCCCCCCACUCAGUCUCGGGAUGGAAACAAGACUUCCACAUUUUAUAAUACAUAGCUCUUGAAGAUUGCUGAGGUGGCAUAAGCCAUCCGGUAAGGAUUUCAGAUUUUGGCAGCUACAGAUCCUAAUAUAUUCAAGGCAGUGAUAGGUGUUGUUGCUGAAGAACCCGUUCGGUGCUAUUAAACCCAGUCGUUCACAUUCCUCCUCAUCUACUAGUGAUUUCAAACUUUUGCAAUAUAUUAUCUCUAUUCUUCUGAGAUUUUGGGGAAUCUGGAAUUUUGCAAAAUAUAUCAACGAAUUGCACUCUGCAAUCCAGAUGUCUUUAAGAGAAGGUGGCAGACCAACAUCUGGAAAAGAAACUAGACUUGAACAUUCGUGUAUGCGAAGCUCUUGAAGAGACGACAGCUGAUUUAACCCUUUUGGUAGCUUCAAAAGAUUUUCGCACUUUCUUAACUCUAGAAAUUCAAGCUUGCAAUCCAAUAUUUGCAAUUGCAGCAACUCCUCUGCUUCUUCUCCCAAUUCUUCAACUAGAGGAGAGUUGUCUUUAACUUCCAAACGGCCAAGAGAAGUCAACCGCUGCAAUAAUCUAGCCUCAUUCUUCAGUGAAGACGUCAACUUCUCACAUCCAUUGAUCUUCAAAUCUCUAACCUUGCUUAGUCCCUUCCUGAACAAUUCCCCUGUUGGCCGAGACAUCACCUCCGAAAUGUUUGAAAUGCACAAGGACUCUAAUAACUCAAACUCAACCUUAGCAGUUGUAUGUUCCAACACUUUACAACCGUCAAUGUUUAGUUGACGAAGCUGUUUGUAGUUGGCAAUCGAAACCGUCAAUUCCUCACAUUGAACAAUUUCAAGUUCGGCUAACAAAUCAAGCUUCUCUGGCAGUUUUCCUUCCAACUUAGAACAUUCCUUGAUUGAAAGCCUUUUUAGGCAAGGGAAAACACCACUUCCGUGAUCCAGUUGGAAAGGAAGCCACACCUUCCAAUGCCGCAUAUUCACAAACUUGAGAAUCUCUAACAGCGGAAAAGGCAUGACACACUCACCAUAAAACUCAGCACCAACACUUUCGACUGCAUUCAUUCCUCUAAUAUAAAGCUCUUUGAGACGAGGCAAUUGUCCGAGAGGUGGCAAGGAUAAACAAUUGUUACAUUCCUCUAAGCGCACAAGCACCAUAUUAGAGAACAAUGGACCUCCAACCCAUGAUGAAAAUUCCUCUCUGGCAUAACCCUUGAUGGUGAGCUCCUUGAGCUUUGUAUGAGGCUGUAACAUGUCAAGCACAGCGGAUUCUGUUUCUCUCGUGUCGCUUGAAUAAUACCAUUUUAGGACCAGUGAAUCAAGCCUCUCCUUGCAUUUCAAGUUGGCCCUCCUGGCAUCCUCGACAUUAGUCACAUUCUCCAAUCCUGAGAGGCACAAUGUCCCUCGGAGAUGCAAUAGGGGCCCUAUCUCUCUUAUCCCUGAAUGAUCACUUCCUUCGCUCACCACAAAAAGAGGCAGUGAUUGUAGAUUUGUCAAUCGACCUAGUUGCGAAGGCAUUCCUUUCAACGAAGAUGCAUCUGAGUUGUUGAGAUGGCGCAAAUUAAUUAGAUUACUCAUGUUCGCGGCAAUGACUUCAUUUGAGAACAACCUUCCAAUAUCAAUGUUUGCAGGUGGUAAAGAGUGCUUGUUGAUUUAGGCAAACUGGCUAUAUAUGUAUAGGAAAGGUCAAGAUACUGUAACAACCUCAAAUCACCGAUUGACUCUGGCAGCUCAGUUAUUUUGUAGCCAUUGAACGAGAGCACUCGUAAGUAUUGCAACUGUGGUAAUAGCUCAAAAGUAACCUUACGAGGCAAAUAUUUGGCCCAUCCCCUGGAAUCUGAAAGUGAAAGUGGCAGGAAUGUUCGCAAGCGUUCAACUUUUGGAAAGUCCUCAAAUCGCAUAACUCCAUCAAAUUGACCAGCAAUGAAAGACGAAUGGCGAGCCCUUCGAAAGCAAGUGCUUUGCAAGUUAUCACCUUGCUUAUCUUCCAACCUAAAACAUAUUUCUCCUGCUGCCCAUUGUGCUAAAUCAUUAACGAGGUCAUGCAUUACAUAUCGUGAAUUGUUUUUGCUUGAUUCUUGAAACAGCGACCUUGCUAAUAGCUCUCGAAAGUAGUCGCGGCCCAAAUCCUCUAUUUGUUUAUUGUCGUCAGGAUUUUGUUGAAUCAAACCCUCUGCCAUCCACAAAAGAAUGAGCUGCUUCUCCCCAAAUUCAUAGUCAUUUGGAAGUAUUGAGCAAUAUGCAAAACACCGCUUCAAAUUUGAUGGAAGAUAGUGAUAGCUCAACUUUAGUACGGGGAGAAUGCCACUCUUGUCUGCUAGAUUCCAUAACUUGUUGUUCAAUAUUUCUCCCCACUCAUCUUUUUCUUUGCAACGUAAAAGACCACCGAGAGUCCUUGCAGCUAAUGGUAAGCCACGACAUUUUUCAACAAUUCUUGUCUUAAUUAAAUCAUAAUUUACCGGCUUUCCAUUAUUAAUUCCCCUGAACGCAUGUCGCUCAAAUAUUUCCAAACAAUCAUCAUCUGCCAUACACUCCAAAUUAUGAACUCCAGUGGCUCCCAUAAUCUUUGCAACAUUCACAUCACGGGUUGUCACAAUAAUCUUACUUCCUCCUGCUCCGAUGCCAAAAGGGGAUUGAAGUCUUGUCCAGAGAUCGUAUAGAUCAGAGUCAUCUUUGUUCCAGAUAUCAUCUAAAACGAUUAAAAACUUUUUUCCUCUUAAUUGCUCACUCAAAUCAUGCUGAAUUUUACUGAACUCCUGCACUUGAACGGGUUGGGAUGUGAUUGAUUCAAGAAUUGCCUUUGUCACUCGUUCAACAUCGAAGUCAUCAGACACACAUACCCACACCUUUAGCUCAAACUCCUUCAUGGCAUCAUCUUUGUGGUUGAAUACAAGUUGAGCAAGUGUUGUCUUCCCGACUCCGGGCAUGCCAACUAUAGCAACUACACCAAAAUUGGCGGCAUCUGCAUGCUCGUAUUUUCUUGACAACAAUUCAAUAAUCUCCCCUUUGUCACCAUCUCUUCCAACAACAAGCUUUUCAUCUAACACGUCUGAACUUGGUAGACUUCGCGAUUCCUUAGCAGACGUCCCAAUAUCUUUCAAGCCAAACUUAUCUUUCCGUUCAGAUAUGUCUUGCAACCGCUUCGUAAUCUUCUUCAUUUCGGAGUUCAUAUCAAAACUCAAUUUAACUUUAUAAAAUGAUCUCCGUACCUUCCUGCUUGUGCUGGCUUGAUCACGUCCCUCUAUCAUGCGCUUCAACAUUUUAACGGAAAAUUUGUCCAACAUGUCUUCGAUAUCAUAGGCCAGGUCUCUGAGAUCAUCCAGCCACAGUUUCACACCACCUUCAGUCAGUUGCCUUUCCUCGGCGUCGCUGAGCACCGCUCCGAUUGUAGACAACGUCGUCCUCCACUUCUCCAGCUUCUGUCCGACGCCCCGGAAAUUUCCCAAGUACUCAAGAAUCUCGCGAGGGGUCAACCUGUCGAGCAGCAACUGCAGAAACGCCGCAAGAAAAACCUCUCCCAGUGCCAUAUUAAGAGCGAGGAUUACUCCAAGCAGUUAAAGAAAGACCGAAUCGCUCUUGAGCAAUAUUGAGGUGCAGAACUGUACAAAUUAAGUGAAGAAACAAAUGAAUAAAAAGUGGUUCAAAUAAAAUGAAAAACAACCAAUGUAUUAUUCGAAUAAACAAUAAGAACUUACAUGGAAGUUCAAAUCUAACUCUGCUUGUGAUCAACAAAUACAGACUCAACGAAGGGAAGAUCAACAGUCAAAUACUAGUUCCUUGGAAAUUUGGAAGCUUGAUCUGUCGAGACUCAGAAAUAGUCACAACUGCGCAAAUUAAAAUGAUGAGAACUAAUUAUUGAUGCAUGCACAAUCAUAUACAAAUUUAUAGUAAAAGUGAAAUAAUCAAUUAAUGGACUCCUAGUAAACAUUUCUAGAUGUGACAAUUUGGGACUAGAGAUGGCAACAGGACGGAUUCAGAUCAAGGUUGACAAUCAUAUACAAAUUUAUAGUAAAAGUGAAAUAACCGUAUCGCCAGGUAUACAAUCCCUAAUAUAGUACUACCAAAUAAUCUAAUAACUUGAUAUUAUAUGUUCCAAUAAAAAAUAAAAAAAACUUGAUAUUGUAUGUAUAAAGCACAAUAAAACACACCACAUAAUAUUACUUAAUAGGAAAAUGUUGGGAAGAUCACAUAUUUUUGUGUCACAUUUAUGUACCAUCUAAUGUGGCAAGUGAGGUAUACACGUCACGUCAAUUUAUGAAUUUAUCUCACUGGAUGUUGAUUGUGUCCACCACUUGCCAUAUGAGAUGAUACACUAAUAUAGUAUAAAUAUGUAGUUUUUCUAGCAUUACUCUUUAAAUAAUAAAGCAUAAUAAAACAUACCAUAUAUGAUUGCAAAAAUCAUAUAUUAGUAUACAUUAUUUUUCUUAAAUUUUAACAUGUUGAACAAAUAAAUGGUUAUUUUUCUUAAAUUUUAACAUGUUGAACAAAUAAAUGGGCAGCUUUGGGAUUACCUUGCAAUCCUACGUUUCAAGACUCGAACUUGCACGAAUAUUGGACAUGAUCUGUAGCAAGAAGCAGUUUCAUGGGAGUCAAUCAGGUCAUGAGGGCACUUGUUUGCACUUAUGAUCAACAAAUCCAGACUGAACGAUGGAAUAAUUAAGCCUGAAAAGUGCACAGAUUAUAUAGAUGGUUAUUGAUAAAAUAAUUAAUUAAGCAUACAAACUUGAAGAAAAAUGAAAUAAAUAAAUAAUGGAUUUGGCAUGUAUAGUUGCAAGAGGAACUUACUGCGUUGGAGUUUUCAGAUGAUGAAGAUGAAGGGACUUGUUUCCAUAGAUCAUUAAGAUCAGCAGAUCUAGACUACUUUAGAGCUCUUCAAUUUGCUGCGAUAAUUAGGUGUUGAAAGACCAUAACGAAGUCUUCUUCCUUCUGCCCAAAAGGAAAGUUAGAUUCCUCUUUUUCCUCUCUCUUUAUUUUUCGUGGGUCAUAUUGUUUUAUCAUUUUGAUUGCUUUCUUAUCUCCGUUGUCCUACACGGUUAUUGCUUUUUUUUUUUCAUGUGGAGAAAAUUGUGGCAAUACUCUCUCAACUUUAACCAAAUUAGAAUAAUGAUCUCUUAAUUAAAAAUUCAUGAUUAUUGAUCUCUUAACUCAUUAAAAUGUACUGCUAAAGUCCAUUUCGUCAAACACCGCUAAAAUUUCCGUCAAAAUGAGUCACGUGCUAGGCACAUAAGGCCGAAUCAAGAAGCGAAUAUGGAAAAUUAAAUAAGAAAAUUGUAGAAAUGGUUUCUCAAUUUUAACCCAAUUGAAGCAAUGAUCUCUUAAUUUUAAUACAAUUGUAGCAAUGUUUCUUUCAACUUGACUUGUUUUGACAAAAGUUAUGAUGAAGUUGACAAAAAUAACUAUAGCUACACAUUUUGGGAAGUUAAGAGACCAAUAAUCAUGAGUUUUUAGUUGAGAAACUAUUGCUACAAUUUCUUUUUUCCUUUAUACGAUCGAGUUUGGAGAUGGCGAACCAAACAUGAAACUUCGGAUGCAAAGGUGACUCGUAAACAACCGAGCAACUUCCCUUGCAAUGCUGAUGAUGUUAUUUUGUGAGCGUGAUUGGUUCAAUUUUUUUGUAGGCCAUUGUAGGUAAUGUAGAGACAAUCAAUUUUAAACAGUAAAAGACACUGAAACAACUUGGGCCAUACAACACAAAGAAGAAGAAAAUGCUCCUGCCGACACCAGAUUUACCGACCAUACAACACAAAGAAGAAGAAAAUGCUCCUGCCGGAAGAAGAAAAUGCUCCUGCCGACACCAGAUUUACCGAAGUUACCAUGUAUUAUGCUUUACCAUCUUGUAGUUAUACUACUUAAUUACUCACAGAGCCAUAUUUGAUUAUGAUCAAUUUGAAGAUGAAGAGCAAGUUUUAUUAGCAUAUAAUUAAGGAAGUUUUAACAAAACACUUCUGGUACUGUUAACUUAAAAACUACAUUUGUACUUUUCUAUGGUACUAUUCAGUACACAUUUAUUUGUCAUUUUUCAUUAAAACUAAAAAAAAUUUGGACUUUUCGUUGGUUUUCUUUAUAAUUAAUGGACAUCUAGAUGUUUAAGGAAACGAGAGCAAGAUUGUCAUAAAGUGAAAAUACUAGCUUAUUAUGUUAAUUUUGAAGAUUAAGUGAGACGAAUUAAGCUUUAUGGAACUGAAUCAGUGACAAGUAAUUUUAGACUUAUGACAAGAAACUUGUGUCUUUGCCAUGUGAAAUUUGCUUUUCACUAAUCAUUCUCCCCGCAAUAAAAUUAGUAGUGCUAAAGUGAACCAAUUCCGCAAAAUACAUAAAAGCCAAUUCCAUAAAAACCAAAAAGAAAGGCUUUUUAUAUUAACACCCCACAAAAUGUUGAAUGCAUCCCAUAUUAAAAUUUAAUAUUAAAUGACUUAUUUACUCCACUAUGCAAUGACAAUUUUGACCUUAUUAGGUUUAAAAAAUAUAUAUAUAAAUUUAUAAUUACACCCCAAAUCACUUUUAGCGUAUUAUUUAUCUUCUCAACUAUCAAAACCCUCACAUCCUGCAUUGUUGAACAAAACUCUAACCAAUGAAACUACAAACAUGUUGACUGAGAAAAAUUGUUUUUGACGAAUUGAACAUGAAAUCGAUGUUUCGGAAGCUUCACAUGAGGUAAGACUUCAUAUUUUUCAUUGUUUUAGUGAUUUCGAUGACAUCGAUAAUUAUUUAAUUUUGCGUUAGAUGCAUUAUUUAAACUUCUAUAUUAAUAUUCAUCUUUUAAGGUUCAUAUUAAUCAUGAGUGUCCAGUAACAUGAGUCAUAUUAGUGCUAGUCAUAUACUACUUUUACAAAAUUGAGGAUAGCCAUUCUCCACAUAAACUCCUACUCUCAAUCUUUUGCUGUUUGAUUGACGUACGUUUCUCAUCGCGAGUUUUUCUUUCUUUUUUCUUCUUUCUUUUCUUGUCACUGGGAGAUGAUCCGUGGAAAAUGAGGUGAGACAUGGCAUGUAUUUAAAGAAAUCUGAGACUGAUUCAGUUUUGAUUUAUUAAUUAACUUCUACACCUGGAUCAUUAGCAGAGAGAGUCUUUAUUUAUCUUAUUCAAGACUAAGUCUAAAGACUUGUGAAAUAAAUCUGAGAUCGAUUCAGUUUUGAUUUGAAAUCUUUUGGCAAACUAAACGUUCAAAUGGUUAGAUUCAAUCCCUGAAAAUUAAAAAUGAGUGUUAUAAGAUUUGAAAAAUGUGGGGUGUGUUGUGACAUAUGUUCUUAUCAAUAUGUGAUUGUGUAAAUCCUAAGUAGAGAUAAAAUAGGAAUCCUUUGGGAUCUAGAAGAUCUUUCCUAAUAUACUUUGUAUUACUUGGAGAGCAAGUUUCUCUCCUCCUAAUUACUAUAAAUAAAGGCACAAGGACUGGGGAAUUAACACACAAUUCCUCAAACCUAUUCUCCAUUCUCUCUUCUUCUCUUUGCCGCACCUAUCUAUUAAAUAUAGGCCACAACACGUUAUCAGCACGCUCUUCACGCUGUGCUUAGAAGAAUUUAAAGAGAAUUUAUUCGUCUACAAUCAGGGGAGUAUUAUGUUUCAAUUAUUUUUAAUUGAUUAAAUCUUGAUUUUAUUGAAUUCAUAUAUUGUUAUUGAUUCAAUUUAUUUUUCUUCUUAUGUUGAAAGUGAUACAAGCUUGAAGAUGAAAGCCGAAAUUGAAGAAAUAAUUUUUCUGCAUCAAACCAGUUCAUUCAUAUCAUCACGCAAUCAGGUUCUUCCAAAACAACGGUUUUUAACUCGAUAUUUUUUAAGCCCUGAUCGCAUGAACAUUCACCAUGAUGCAUGACCCAACUUUACGUUUAACGUAUUUUAGAUUCUACAUAAAUUGUGUAUGCCUCAUAACCAAAAUUGCUACAAUUAUGUGAAUUUGAUAUUUUUCAUGAAUUGAAUCUUACAUAUGUACAUGUAUUGAAACUAUUAUUUGCAUAUGCAUCAAAGUAAAUACGUGAUUCAUUGAAAUAUAUAUACAAUUGAAUUAUUUAUGGAUAUAAUUGAAUUGAAAAAAAAAAAAAAUUUGGAAACGGGAAAAUUAGGGUUCUUCGAACCCAUGCCUUUGCAUUAUGCAAAAAGCUGCAAGAACCCUAGGGUUCCCUCCCCGUGACCCCAACAAUACUGGGCUCACACGAGCCCACUAUAGAUUGCAAAGCACUGGAGCAAAACCCUUGCUCCAUCUGAAAAACGCCUUCGGCAUCAAACCCUAACACAAGGUGCCGCCCGAAGUCGGCCACGGCUUCAACGCCGUUAUUGCUGGGCAAUCACACCUGCAGUUGUGAUUGGGACCUCGCCAUUGUCGAAGACGAUGGGUUUUUUUUCAGAAACCCGAUGAACAUCGACGGGUUCUUUGAACCCCAAUCGUUCUCGGACCUCUGACGUUGAAACCAAAGUUUCCGUCUACAACUCGGGUUCCCCAGUUGAACCCCCAAGCUUUGCAUUGCCAUAGACCCCGAGGACAGUCGCCAGAAGCGACACCGGCGUUCCCCCGAUUCGAAUCUGACACCCAGCGACGCUGGGUUGUUCUGGUUUUCUUCAACCCGAGCCCUAUUGGGCUCCAGUUCCUCGGCCCGUGUGAAAAGAAAAAAACAUUUUUUUUGGCCUGCCAGCAGCAGCCCAACCCAUUCCCCGUGAGCCUGCAGCUCACCCGUGACCCCCCCUUAGUUAUUUCUCUCCUGCCCGUGGGCCUGCAGCCCCGCCAGAGACUAAACCUAGCCCAAUUUUGGGCUUAUGUCACAUUGCAAGAUUUAUAUAUAGCCACUCGAGGACUUAUUUUGGGCCACGAAUUUUAUUUGCCUAAUUAUUUUAGGCCCAAUGGGUUAUAUAUUUUUUCACCCACAUUUUAAUUUGGCCCGAAGUCCAAAUAAAUUAAUUCAAUUAUAAUUAUAAACCUGAAGUUAUAUCUUUGUAUAUCCUUGUUGUAUAUUUGCUUGCAUAUAUAUAUAUAUAUGUUUGUCUGCAGAUAUUAUGAACUUAAAAUUCAUACUUCCGAACCCCAAGUUUCGGAAAAGUGCCAUAUGAACCUGAAGUUUCUUAAUGCGCAACACUCAUGUUGAGACCCGAAGUUCUCCAUGCUUAAAUCCGUUUAAACCAAACCAUGUCUUAGAACCUGAAUGUUCUAAAUUUGUUGUUUAUGGAAAUUUUAUUUCCUAAAACACCAAUCACAUUCUUGUUUCCUCCAUUCAGCGUAUUGUCGAACCGUAACAAGUUCGAUUUCACUGAUUUGGAAGUUUCGAAUAGUAAACUACUUUAUGUGGAUACAAGACGUGAAUAAGCAUCCGCCAUGAUCCUUAUUCGAAGAAUUAUGCCUGAAGCAUAUCCAAUGGAAGUACCUCCCUGCUGAGGACUCCAUGACUCUUCAAAUCCGUUCUGGACUGUUUCAAAUCAUGCAAAGAUGAAUUUUUGCCUGAAGCAAAACAUAAUUGAAACUGUUACGUCCAUGAAUAGGUACAAUUCUCGUAGUCCAUUUGUGAGACUCAUUUUGCUCCACCUAAUACAUUUGGAAGAGCGAAAUUUGACAUGGACGGCUUAUUGGCCGAACCCCAUUGUUUUUUUUUGGUUUAUUUUGUGAAUAAUUUAUUUUGUUCUCGGAUUUAAGAUUAGUGUUUGGAUGUCACCAUUAUUCUCGAAUAAAAGAGUUAAUUAACAAAGAUUACCACAUGUGACUACAAUUAACUCAUGCUUAGGUAUGUUUUGUGGGGAAGUUAGAUCUCUGGUUCUAUGCUAACUUCAUACCUAAUCAUCCCCUGACAACCUUUCAGGCUUAUCCAACCUGAUUGUGGGGCAUGGCACUGCCCUAUAUUGUCCAAUGGUAUUAACUUUACCAUAAAGGGAAGCCUUAUACUCACUUCGUUCCGGAAGAACGCCCUUUUGAGCUUUAAGGAUAUUCGAGAGUAUUAUUACCAUAUUGAAACCAAUGUAGAAAAAUGGAGUAAAAUUCCUUGGCAUAUUACCAUUUUGCACUUCUUACGAAUAUAGUUAAAUGCAUAUUCUAGAGAAGAUGGAACGCUUAACGAAUGGAUUACAUCCAUUCAAGUCCACUAUGUGGCCGGCCAGAAGCCCGCGAUUCCUAAGGAAUUUGCGCUAUGGAUGUACAUUUGGGAUAUCUAGGAUGAUUCGUGAUGCGCCGUUUUGGGCAUCCUUUUACCAGAAGUAAAGAAAUCAUACCUGGACACGUAUUAUACCUUAGCACCCUCCAUCUUUUUACAAAGGAUUCAAAUGGGACAUUUGUGGAUAGAUUCAACCACCCUACGGACCAUUUAAAUAUUCUAUAGUAUUGGUUGAUGCUUCUACACGUUUGUCACACGUGUGGUUGUUGUCCACAAGUUGCAUUCUCCACACUGGUAGCUCAGAUUAACAAGCUCAGGGCUCACCACCCUGAUUAUCUGAUCAAAUUUAUUUGAUUGGAUAAGUUGGAGAAUUUACAUCGACAUUUACAUCGACAAUUUAAAUCUCGAUGGAUAUUGCAUGUCGGUUGGGUUUUUUGAAAGUUGAGCAUCCAGUCCCAUGUUCAUACCCAGAACGACCCAGCAGAAGUAUUCAUUAAACGCCUUCAAAUGAUUGCGUGGUCGACUAGUCAUACGUACCACAGUUCCCGACCUCUGCUUGGGGCCAUGCAAUAUUGCAAGCAACCAUGUUGGUCUGCCUGAGGCCCGUCACGACCCAACCUUAUAAAGCGCGUGUCAGUUGGUUACCAGAUACGAACCCGACAUAUCGCAUAUGCGCGUCUUUGGUUGUGCGGUCUAUGUGCCAUUUUGCGCCGCCCUUACGUACACAAAAACAAAGGGGUCCUCAGGGAAGGAUGGAAAUCUAUGUCGGUUAUGAUUCUCCUUCUAAUAUUCGUUACUAAAUAACCUUUGACAGGCGAUCUCUUUACCGCUCAUUCUGCGAAUUGUCACUUUUAUGAGACAGUCUUCUCGUCGUUAGGGGGAGAUAAGCACGUCAACGUUCCUAAAGAACGACGCGAAUUAUCGUGGACGUCCCCACUAUGUCUCAUAUCGAUCCCAAUCUAGAUCGUCAGAGUUUAACCAGACACUUCCUCUGAUCUAGUAAAAGUGACGAGAUCACAUAUACCAGCUGCAAAUGUGCCUGCAAAGAUGUGUACCAAAUGUACUUCGGACCUUUGUCCUGAAAGUAGGAAAGCCACAAUUGUGGCCGACCCUCGUACAUUGACGGCUAGCCAAUCAAUCUAUCUUAUGCCAGAAGCAUGGUAGAUCACUCGGUUCGAGGAUUCACCUCCCCAAAAGAGGAGGAACGUGGCACGAAUGAAUCCGCCCCUCGAUCGCUGUCUCAGACCUUUUCAUCUCAUGAGAUUAAAUCCGGAUAACUCCCGAGACCUGAAGUUCUUGGUCCAGUAUACUAGUUUGGAUGAGAUAUGGAAUUGGAAUGAGAUUAUCAUAAAUGAUGUUUCAUUUAUAUGGUACCGACAUAAAUGAAAAGCGACGAUAACGAACCGCGUUCCGUUGAUUAAUAUCAACGUAGAACUGAUUGGUCAACUAAAAGAAUCAAUCUAUGACGAAUGAGAUGAAUGAAAUAGUGCAAUAUGACGCCUUGUGGCGCAAGGUUUCUCUCAUACGCCAUGUGAUUGAUCGCAGCAUUACAAACGUGGUUGUAAUAUCUCUGGGAUCGUGAUAUGAACCUACAUGGAGUUUCCAAAGGACUUACAUGUACUGAUUCAAAUAGUUCUAGACCACAAGAACAUCCUCUUGAUUCUCAAGCGGCCUUCACUUUACGGAUGCAGAACUAUCCGGGCAGAUGUGGUAUACCCGUCUAAGUGAAUAUUUGAUCAGUUAGGGAUAUAUGCCCCUGCGUGUAUAAAAUCCGAAAUUGAGAAAAUUAACUCGCAUAUCGGACUAUAAGAUGAAUGAUCUUGGGAGAACUUGACAUUACCUCGACCUGAAGUUUCGAGCUAGUUUUGAUGGUAUUCUGGUCCACCACUCAAACUAGACCCAGAAGGUGUUACGUCUGAGUAUAUCCUGAUCAUCUGUAUGCUAGAUACAAAUGAGACCUUUACGGAGGGUAUGGAGCAUAAGGUUCCAUAUUGGAACGUGAGGCAGCCAUAUCUAAGUACCAUUGGCGUUUGUUGUACUUAGCUCAAAUGCACUAGAUCAGACAUCUUAUGUGCUGAUAAUCUUUUGGCAUAAAGCAGCAAUGCGCCUAACACGCCACCACCAAAUUUGGUGUUAAAGACGUUUUUCUGUUACUACGGAUUUGGGCUUAUUCCCUAUGCAUCUCAGAAUAGAUCACACCCCCUUGAUCUUCGGAAUGAUGCCUACCUUGUGGGAUUCGUUGAAUCAGACCAUUUGUCUGACCGCACAAGGUACGUUCCCGCAUGGUUAUGUCUUUACCAUUAAGGAACACCGCAAUAUCUUGGAGGUUAAUUAGAUAGACCUUUUGUUGCGAAAUCUUUUUGAAUCGUUCCAAGACUCACUAUGUCUCAUCACGUGAGAGAUAUGGUCGAGAAUUCUUGUUGAGCAUAUUCAAAAAUCCUUGCGAUUUUCAUCCAUCGUUGAGUCCCAACAACGAUCCAUGAAUACAACGCUGUAUGUAUCGACCAGAUCAUGAUACAUCCAAAAAGUCAACACCAAACAUAUUGUAUCUACAUCAGCAUGAGCAUCAGAAGAUUGAAGUCAAGCAGUCCAAUCCCAGACAACCUUACCGACAUCUACACAAAGUCACUACCAAAGUCUACCUUCUAGAAGCUUGUCCAAUGAAUUGGUAUGCGUAACUUUCUCAUUUGCAAUGCUUGUAGUUUCAUUUGGAAGUUUUGUCAAACUCAGGGGGAGUAUCUAGAAGUAUACUCACUUGAUCUUAAUAUACUCUUUUUCCCUACGAUUAGGAGCAUUUUUCCCACUGGGUUUUUGCUACCUAACUAGGUUUUAACGAGGCACCCAUCAUGGGCUGAUCAUACCCUUGUGAGCUCUUCUACUUGCGUCCAGAAGACGUAUAGUUUUGACUUAAUGCAACUUCUCACUUUUCUCCUUAGCCUAUGGGCUUUUCUCCCACCUUGGGUUUUGCCAUAGUAAGGUUUUGUGAGUUUUACCACUCCUGCAUUCUUCCGUCUUUUGAGACUCGCAUUCGCUACUUGUGCCGACUAAACGAGACGAUUUCAUCCACUACUUCUACAUUUGCCUGAAGAUCUGAUGCGCCAUCUACUUGAGUAUUUGCACACUCAAGGGGGAGUGUUGUGACAUAUGUUCUUAUCAAUAUGUGAUUGUGUAAAUCCUAAGUAGAGAUAAAAUAGGAAUCCUUUGGGAUCUAGAAGAUCUUUCCUAAUAUACUUUGUAUUACUUGGAGAGCAAGUUUCUCUCAUUCUAAUUACUAUAAAUAAAGGCACAAGGACUGGGGAAUUAACACACAAUUCCUCAAACCUAUUCUCCAUUCUCUCUUCUUCUCUUUGCCGCACCUAUCUAUUAAAUAUAGGCCACAACAGGGUGUAAAUAAAAUGUGGGGUGUAUGUACAAAAUAUAAGAGGUAUAUUGAGAAUGUGGGGUGUGGAGGUAUUAUGAGAAAGUAUGUGGGGUGUAUUAAGAUAAAUUUUAAAUAAAAAAAUAAAUGUGGAGUGUAUUAAGUAUGUGAGGUUUAUUCAACAAUUUGUGGGGUGUUAAUAUAAUUAGCCAAAAUAAACCGACAGAAAGGAACCAACUUCUUAAUUUCCUUUUUGUUGCAUAUGAAUAUUCACUCAACAAUCUUCCCACAACCUCUCUCUGCUUCAAUUAAGGUCAUAUAUGUUUCUUAAUACUGGUUUGGUGAUAUCGACCUUCCUCUUUUCUGUCCUAUACUGAAAUGAAAGCCUACCAGGUUACCAGUGCUAAUAGAAAUAAACUAUAUGGUUGGGACUUGUACAUGGUUAGAUCCUCGGUCUCCACGAAUUAUGCUAAAAGGCGGACUAAUCAGAUGAUUAUCAAACACUACAGAGGCCAUCGUUCAAGCGGCGCCAUGCCUGCCAAUGAACAGCUUCGUUCACAAAAGCCUGAAAUUUGCGAGAAUCAAAACCUUUACAAACGGGAUCAAAAGAAUGAGGACUACUCCACAAUCCUCUAGCAAGUGAAUAAACCCUCAUAAAAAAUAUUCGGAUCCUCGUAUUCCAACCACACGAAGAAAUCUAUUGCGCUUAGGAACACUUGGAUAUUCUAGCUUGCAGUAGUCAUCAAAAGCAUGGUUAUCGUAAUGCAAAUAGUAAUUCUGCUCCACUGGAUUAUCUCCACGAACACAUUGCAGAAGGAGGUGGUGGGUGCCAAACUGGUUAAAAUCGAUGGCACAGCUGAGGUGGGUGCGAAUGAAGCUGGGAUUUUUUAUCAUGGAGUUCCAAGGCUUGGACACCGAGGUGCAUCGGAUCAAAGCUUUAGGAGGUAGUCUCAAAAGGAUAACACGUACAAUUUCCUUAGGCAAACUGCUAACCAUUGCUUCAAACUUCACUUCCCCGGCUGCCAAUUUCAUAGACAUAGAGUAAGUGAGGAAAUAUAGUGCAGCCAGUUACAGAACACCGUGCUCCUCCACAUAGGAGAACAACAUUGUCAAAACUCUGCCGGUGGUUGAUGAAUGCAGCAAAACCAUUUUUUCUGUGCACCAGGAAAUCAAACCAAAUCAAAUCAUCCGCAUAGAGUGAGGAAUUUAAGCAUAUUAGAUUUUGGC